AGUGAACGCUGGCGGUAGGCCUAACACAUGCAAGUCGAACGGCAGCACAGUAAGAGCUUGCUCUUACGGGUGGCGAGUGGCGGACGGGUGAGGAAUACAUCGGAAUCUACUUUUUCGUGGGGGAUAACGUAGGGAAACUUACGCUAAUACCGCAUACGACCUACGGGUGAAAGCAGGGGAUCUUCGGACCUUGCGCGAUUGAAUGAGCCGAUGUCGGAUUAGCUAGUUGGCGAGGUAAAGGCCCACCAAGGCAACGAUCCGUAGCUGAUCUGAGAGGAUGAUCGGCCACACUGGAACUGAGACACGGUCCAGACUCCUACGGGAGGCAGCAGUGGGGAAUAUUGGACAAUGGGCGCAAGCCUGAUCCAGCCAUACCGCGUGAGUGAAGAAGGCCUUCGGGUUGUAAAGCCCUUUUGUUGGGAAAGAAAAGCAGCAGGUUAAUACCCCGCUGUUCUGACGGUACCCAAAGAAUAAGCACCGGCUAACUUCGUG
rnacentral:rRNA from 1 species